GUUUGAUCCUGGCUCAGAGCGAACGUUAGCGGCAGGCUUAACACAUGCAAGUCGAGCGAGAAAGGGGCUUCGGCUCCGAGUAAAGCGGCGGACGGGUGCGUAACACGUGGAUAAUCUGCCUCGUGGCGGGGGACAACAGUCCGAAAGGACUGCUAAUACCGCAUGUCAGGUCGGAAACUCCGGUUUCUGACGAAAAAGAGGGCGCCCGCAAGGGGCUCUCACCACGAGAUGAGUCCGCGUCCCAUCAGCUAGUUGGCGGUGUAAUAGACCACCAAGGCUUAGACGGGUAGCUGGUCUGAGAGGAUGACCAGCCACACUGGGACUGAGACACGGCCCAGACUCCUACGGGAGGCAGCAGUGGGGAAUAUUGGACAAUGGGCGAAAGCCUGAUCCAGCCAUGCCGCGUGAGUGAUG
rnacentral:rRNA from 1 species